UAGUUGGUGGGGUAAAGGCUCACCAAGGCGACGAUCCGUAGCGGGUCUGAGAGGACGACCCGCCACACUGGAACUGAGACACGGUCCAGACUCCUACGGGAGGCAGCAGUGGGGAAUUUUGGACAAUGGGCGCAAGCCUGAUCCAGCCAUUCCGCGUGAGUGAAGAAGGCCUUCGGGUUGUAAAGCUCUUUCGGCAGGAACGAAACGGUGGUCUCUAACAUAGACUGCUAAUGACGGUACCUGAAGAAGAAGCACCGGCUAACUACGUGCCAGCAGCCGCGGUAAUACGUAGGGUGCGAGCGUUAAUCGGAAUUACUGGGCGUAAAGCGUGCGCAGGCGGUUUUGUAAGACAGGUGUGAAAUCCCCGGGCUCAACCUGGGAACUGCGCUUGUGACUGCAAGACUUGAGUGCGGCAGAGGGGGGUGGAAUUCCACGUGUAGCAGUGAAAUGCGUAGAGAUGUGGAGGAACACCGAUGGCGAAGGCAGCCCCCUGGGUCGACACUGACGCUCAUGCACGAAAGCGUGGGUAGCAAACAGGAUUAGAUACCCUGGUAGUCCACGCCCUAAACGAUGCGAACUAGGUGUUGGGGAAGGAGACUUUCUUAGUACCGCAGCUAACGCGUGAAGUUCGCCGCCUGGGGAGUACGGUCGCAAGAUUAAAACUCAAAGGAAUUGACGGGGACCCGCACAAGCGGUGGAUGAUGUGGAUUAAUUCGAUGCAACGCGAAAAACCUUACCUACCCUUGACAUGCCUGGAAUCCUGCUGAGAGGUGGGAGUGCCCGAAAGGGAACCGGGACACAGGUGCUGCAUGGCUGUCGUCAGCUCGUGUCGUGAGAUGUUGGGUUAAGUCCCGCAACGAGCGCAACCCUUGUCGUUAAUUGCCAUCAUUCAGUUGGGCACUUUAGCGAGACUGCCGG
rnacentral:rRNA from 1 species